UGAGGAACAUGACCUUCGGCGGGGGAUAGCCGGCCCAACGGCCGGGUAAUACCGCGUACGACCACAUGGGGACAUCCCUGAGUGGUGAAAGCAGCAAUGCGCCGAUGGAGUGCCUCGCGGCCUAUCAGCUAGUUGGUGAGGUAACGCUCACCAAGGCGACGAUCAGUAGCUGGUCUGAGAGGAUGAUCAGCCACAGUUGGGACUGAGACACCGGCAAACCUCCG
rnacentral:rRNA from 1 species